rnacentral:lncRNA from 1 species
GAAUUGCUUAUGAAUGUGCAAUCUUGAACCAAUCAGUUGAAACGUAUCACAUCUUGGGGGAAACAGACUCGAAGCAAGUGGUUCCUUUUAAAAAUCUUUUCUACCUAUCAUUUUAAUUAUGAAAGGUUUCCUUUGGUAAGUAUCACAAUACAAAAGUACAAGGAUAACCACUGGGUCUAAUAUGAAUCUAUUCUAAGCAAAUGAAUGUAUUAUUAGGGAAUUUAUGCUAUAUUUUAAGAUCAAAUUUAACAAAACAAAAAAAUAGCUGGUGGAAAAAAUAUUGUAUAAGCUAUUCAGGGAAAGAUGAUAAUUAGCUUUAGCAAACAUAGAACCCCCAAUGAGGAAAAAUCCAGAAUAGGAAAAUGAAAAUUGACUGGUGAACCUCACUUAGGGGAUGAUUAUUAGUAGAUUCCAUUAAAUGAACAGUUUAGGAGGCAACUUAUAAUUUGUUUGGUCUGUUAACUUUAGAAGUGUCUUCUGGAUAGUAAUAAAUAGCUUCAAUGGUAAUAUGCAUCACCAAUACCCAACUGGAAGCCCAGACCCAAAGCAAGAGUCAGAAAUGAAGAAUAGGUGGGGGUAGAAAAUGAAAUUUCAACCUUGAAACAGUAGAGCCUGGUAACUGGGGAAAAUUCUACGUGAACCUUUAAAGGUUGAGGAUAGAUAUCAAGUGGGGUGAAGCAAGGAAGGAGAUAAAGGUGCCUGAUGUUCCAAACCAUCCAAAAGACAAUGGGAACUAUUAAAACAUUAUUAAAAGAUCUUUACUGAUAACAUUCAUCUCUAAAGUAUACUAAAUACCUAUAACAAUCAACCACUAUUUAUUCAUUCAGUUGUUCAACUACAAAUGAAUUACAAGUAAUUAUUAAUUGUAUUACAAUUACAAUGUACAAGUAAUUCAACUGAAUUACUUGUACAUUUUUAAUGAGUAUUUAAAGUCUUGGAGCUGUUCUGAUCACUCAAUUAGUAUUUUAAGGUAUUUUGUAGGAGAACGAAAUGUACAUUGGAUAUGUGGACUUCAGCCAACUAAAUAGUCCUAGAAGUGAGUGAUGGUAUGAUUCUUAAUUUUCUUAAAUCAGAAUUUUAUCAAGUGUUGAAAUUAGCUUUUAAAUUUAAAAUUUGAUUUAAAAUCAAAUGAUAUGGAAUUUUUCUAAAUUAUAAUAGAAGUCAGCAAGAGCAUAUUGUUACAUGCAACACUUUCAAUAACAAUAGGCAAGGCAAAAAUCUAUGUAGCUAGGCAAUAUUAUUUGAAUGUCAAUAUUUUAGAACAUGUAAAAUAUUAGUACAAAUAAAAUGGUAUUUUCUACAUGUAGUAGGAAAUAAGUUAUUAGGGAAAGUAUUAAGGUUUAUACUAUCUUCAGAUACCAGUCUGUUCUGUGUUUUAAAAAUGUUACAGUUUAACCCUCCCAGGAGAUGUCCAAGGACCUCCACCUACAGAUGCCCUUUGUGGUGUAUGACCCAGGUUACUGUGUGCACUUGAAAAAAAUUUCUCUUAAAUAAUCUGUAAUUUAAUUUUGAGACUUAGAUUUCAAAUUAUCAAAUAAGGGAAUGUUGUACAAAACUUUUAAUGAAUAAACUCCUGGAUAAGGGCACAUACAAAUUUAAAAAAAAAAUAAGAGGCUUCUCUUAAAAGUAAGGCAAUUCUUUCCUUUUCUUAGAGCAUUUUAUUUUGCAAACUUGUAAAUUCUCUGCCCUCAGAUGUAAAUCUUUUAAAAACCCAUUGCAGGGCUUUCAAUCCCAGAGUCUUUUCCAAGAUCCAAGGAGUAUUACAUGAAAUGUAAUCAUCAAAGGAGAUGCAUAUCCAAAGGAGAUGGUAUCCCAGUCUUCCAGUUUAGGUUGGAAGGGUAGAAGCCUAACUUCAAGGAAGAUCUCUCUCCAAGUUGCAAAACUACCUCUUGUCAUUAAAAUGCAAGAGAUUUGUUUUUCCUUUGUAUGAAGCCAAUUAGCUAACACACAUAGUCACUUCAAUUACUAGGUAAAUUUAGGAGGGACUGUGUGACAAAUGGUGCCAGCAAGGCCUCUUGACUGAGGAGUUAUUCUUUAUCUUGUGGAUGUGUAUAUCAUAGGUUGCAUGUGCUCAGCUCUAUAAAAAUGUGGGGUUUGGGUCUUUGCAAUCUCUGUAUUGCCGGUGAGGUGCAUCACAUUCUGGUUCAGUGUGUAUUCAAUAAUAAAGCUAUUUUCUUUCUCUACUGUCUUUGUGGAGAGAUUUUCUAGGUUAGAUAAUUUUAUAUCCCCAACAUGACCUCAUAUUGAUUAUAUGGAUGGAUUUCACUUGCUCAUAAAAAUACUCCCUUGCCAGAUGUUAAUAUUUAGUUUCAUUAUCUAUGGGUUAACCAUUCAACAUCAAACUUAAUUCUCCCACCUCCAAAUAGCAUUGAGUUAUGCUUGAACACAUUCUGCUAUUCUUUCCCAUCCUCCGUGGACAUUGUUUACAAUGAUGUUCUGUAACUUUAAUUUGGACCUAGAGGAUUAAUUUUAUGAUAGCUUGAAGAAUGAAACAGCAGCAAGAUGGACUGUCCUAAGCUUCAUGUGGCCAGGAACUGUCAGUUAACUGAGGACAAGAGGACUGCAAGAGGUGGGAAGAGAAGAGAGCCUCUGUUGUCAGGAAUUCAAGAUCAGUGAAUGAAUGGCAGAAAAUAAAACAUACCAUGACCUCAAAAAGCAGGAUAAGAUGAGGCAAUGGCUCCAAGUUCAAGAAGUGGGGAAGAAAUAUGCUGAAUUUCUGGCAACAGACUGUUACAAAACAGUUCUUGCUCUACCAGGUUGAGAUCAGACCAAAACCAGUUCUUUAUCAUAUGGACCACACAUAGAGCAUCAUUGUUCAAUGAACUUUCUACAAUGAUAGAAGUGUCCCAUAUCUGUACUGUCCAAUGCACUAGCCGUCAGCCAGAUGUUCUGUUGAUCAAGUGUGGGCAGUGUAAUUUAAUAUUUACUCUUAUUUUUAAAUUGGUUUAAAAAUAGUGUCUACUCCAUUGGACAGUACAGAACUAUGAUUCAAGGGGAAAAGGUUUUUGGGUCAUUGACUUAUGAAAAAAAAAUGUUAUAAUGCCUGUACUACUCGGCAGGGAGUAGUGACGGUGGGAAUCUUGUGUGGGAUGCUGAUCGGCAUUAAUCACUGGUUGGAGGAUGUGUAGACAGGAGUUGAAGUGCUCCUAAAAGUUAACAGCAAUGAGACCAUUUGGAUGCUCGGUAUGAAAUAAGCUUUUCUGGGUUCUCUCCAGCCAGCUCAUGAGAGAGACCUUUUUACAGUCCUUCUUUCACACAUUUCAUUAUUUUCAAGUUCUGCUAUCUUUAUCUUGCCCCAUCCUGGGAAUCCUAAGAGGAUUCUAGAGAGUUUUAUAAAUUGCUUUGUAGAUUAAAAUUCUAUAUAAAGUGUCUAUUACUACCAGCAGUCCUGACUUAGAGAGAUUAGACUUCUGACAGUUCCCCCUUUAUAGGGUAUGGAGCAAUGAAUCUGCAUUAUUAACCCAGGAGGCAGAAUCGCACAGAUAGUCGGAUCAGGGGUUCUGCUUCCCAGUGAUCUUACCCAUGCUGAUAACCCUCCUGUAUCCUCAGCCUGGCCUCACAGUUCUUUCCUUCUCUAUGCGUGUUCAUCCUUUCCUGGUGUGUCAGCUUGUGGACAGAGCUAAUCUAGAUCUUUGUGGAGGGACGUGCCAUUAGCUGGAAACUGCAGGUAGGUUGGCUGAAAGUCGUGAAAUAAGAAUUGCACAGUGGAAACGGCAUUGGACUUGAAGUCAGAAGACCUCCUUUGAGUCCUAGCCCUGCCCUCUGGGUUAUGAAACCAUAACUGGAUGCUUAAUGUAUUAGAGUCCUAGUUCUUUUAUUCAUUUAACAGAUACUUUACUGAAUAACAUUUUGGAUUAGGUAUUAGGAACUAGAAAUUUGUCAGUGAACUAAACUGAAAAUCUCUAGUCUCAUCAAACUUGCAUUUCCAGUGGAGGGAACUGAAAAUAAAACACAAUAAAUAUAUUACAUAGCACAUAAGACAAGCUGGGGAGAGGAAUAGGAAUGGAUGGAAGAGAAUAUUUGAUAUAAUUUUCUUUUUUUUUUUUUGUGAAUAUGUAAUCUUUUUUUUUUUUAAUUUUUUAUUGUGGGUUGUUCAAAACAUUACAAAUUUCUUGACAUAUCAUAUUCCACACUUUGAUUCAAGUGGGUUAUGAACUCCCACCUUCACCCCAUACACAGAUUGCAGAAUCACAUCAGUUACACAUCCAUUGAUAUAAUUUUCAUUGGGGAAUCAGGAUAGGCCUCACUGAGAAAUAGACAUUUGAGCAAAGGGUUGAAGGUAAAUGCCUCAUUUCCUGUGUAGGGAGAGACUUCUAAGCAAUGUCAUUUUGGUUCAGAAACUUGAAAAUGAUAGAGGAACUUGAAAAUAAGCAUGGUUGGUGACCCUCACUAGGAGAGAAAACGGCCACCCUUGAAAUGCCUACUGUGUGCUGGGUGCCAAAUACUUUGUAUCUGAAAGCUGAUGCUAACUGGCAUUCUUCACCCUGGAAACUGAAGGCUCACCCUAAUACUUUGAUGAAUGAUCAAAGUCUCAGGAAUGGGAGAAUUUUCAAUGUGAAUCUGAUUCCAUUUCCUAGUGUGGGUUUUAUCUCAAUAUUAUGGAAUAGGCUGGUGCCUAGGGGUAUGUAAUGCAGUAUAAAACUAUUUGGAGUUGUUCUCCAUGGGACUCCAAGUUGCUGUUCCUCCACAAUCAUUUCAAGGAUGUUUGAAUAGUGAAAUCUUGGAAGACAGAUAAUGUCUCCAUCUGGAGCCAAGAACAGGCUUGCUUACUGCUCGUCAUAAAAGAUUUAGCUUUGCUAAGCUCAGGUUCCUUUCCUAUAAUGUAAUCCACUGUGUUUGUGGUUGUCAUUUGGCCUUCUUUUUAUCACCCUGUGGGAAAUGGAACUUGGGCAACCAGUGUGAGAAAGUGAUAAUACUUUAUUUUGCUGGGGUGAAUCUCUGACCCAAGAGUCUCAUAUCUUCAGACCACAUCCAUGAAACUGUCAGGCUAACUUGUUCACUUGCAAGCAGAAUAGAAUCUAAGAACUGCACUUUAGUAUUUGAGUUGGAGAUUUUCCUAGGAGAAUCUUUAAAGAUUUUAAGAAGUGAUAAUAAAGCUUACAAACAUACAUUAUCUAAAUUAGCUUUUCGUCCCAAUUAAAAAAUAGUUAUAAAGUAGAAAAUAAAAAUGAUGGCUUAUUAAUUUUCCCAGCACUACUGGGAGAGUUAAUUCUUAAGUAGUAAGCUUCCUUAGGCAGUUGGAAACAUAUACUUUUGUGAAUUUAAUGGGUCAUUAUUGGAAGUUCUAUUUUCAUUUACAAACAUUUUUCCUUCCUUUUUUUAUUUUUUAAAAUUCUGGCGGACGUCCUUUCUCUAGAAAGGACUUUAGGAAGCACAUAGCAUUUGAAUAACCUGAGAGCUCAGCAUCCUUGAAUGUGCAAAGCUGCCAGAGUUGGUCAGAGAGUCAACCUGAAUAGAAUUAUCAAAGGCCACUGUGUGGAUGAAAAUGCAAUUUGAGGAUGAAAUGGAAAGCAAGGCUCUGAUAGUUUGGUAUGGGGAUUUAACAUUUGUACAAGGUCCUUGAGGGUAAAGGCACUAAUUAGACAAAUAAGACUAUUUGGAAGAUCGUGGUUUGGAAGAGUCAUUCAUAUGACCCAAAGCAAACGCCAAUCAGAAAAACAUGCCACCUAACGUUUUCCCCAAACAUUGCUGAUUUUUGUUCUUUCAAAAUUAUGGAACUUGUACCCUAAAAUGUUUAAUUAGUAUUCCUAACUCUUUUGGAGGACCUACUCAUGGGGAGUAUAAUGGAAAUGCCCUAUGUUUAACUCGGUUCCUGUUUUACCCUAUUUACAAUGUUUAUCUUCAGGCACUUCCCCAAGAAAGUCUGGGGCAGAUAUUCAUUCUCUAAUGCACAAAUAUGCAUUCACCAGCUGCUGCCAUUUAUAAAUAUGGGACAUGUGAGUCACUCACUUCUAUUAUUGCCAUACAGGAAAAAAAUCAAAUACUUAUCAAAACACUUUUAAAAAAAAAUUUAUAGAAAAAUAACUUUGAAAAUCUUUACUUGUUUAUUCCCAGAUAUAUCAUUUAAUAAUAAACAAUCCAACGACAAGUGAACUCAAGGUGAUAAAGAAGCUUGAAAGAAUCUGAAGAAAGUAAAAAGGGAAAUUAAAGGAACAUUAGUGAUUGAAGUAGAUACUACAUGGAAGCACAAGCAAGAGGAAAAAUUGAUAAAUUGGACUUCAUUAUAAUUACAUUAAAGGAUAGUACCAAGAAAGUUAAAAGAUAACAUGUAGAACGAGGGAAAAUAUUUGUGAAUCAUUAAAUCCUUGUAAGAGAUAUAUCUAGGAUAUAUAAAAAAAACUAUUAAAACUCAACAAAAGGAUAAGAUAAACUUGUUUAAAAUGAGCAAAGGACUCAAAUAGAUUUUUCUUCAGAGAAGUUAUACAAAUAGCUGAUAAGCAUAUGAAAUGAUGCUCAACAUCAUUAGUUACUAGGGAAAUGCAAAUUAAAACCAUAAUGUGAUACCACUUCACAUGCACUAUGAUAAUAAAACGAUGGAAAAUAACAAGCAUUGCCAUGGAUUUGAAGAAAUUGGAACUUUUGUACAUUUCUGGUAGGAAUGUAAAAUGAUACUGCGACUGUGGAAAAUAGUUUGGUUGCUCCUCAAAAAGCUAAACCUAGAAUUACCAUGUGGUCUAGCAAUUCCACUUCUAGGUAUAGACCUCAAGGAAUUGAAAACAAGACUGAAACGGUUAUUUGUACA